ACUAUGUCUGUCCCCGUCAUGGUCAUCGCAACCCUCCUCCAUGACCACAUCUGAUUCAGCACCGGGACUCAACAGAUCUAAGAGCCAUGAUAAGAAGAAGAUUGGAGCAAACAGGAAAGCAAACCAAGACAAAUUCACGACGUUACUCUAACCGACAUUAUCAGAAGAAUCCAUUCAACAUGGCGGAUACUCGCAAGCGACCGGAGCAAACUUAAUGGAACAACUUGCUGAGCUGAAUGCUGAAUAGUAAAAAGUGAGCCUCAACACUUAAGGUUUGUGCUGACCAUAUCAGAGAAACCAGCACUAACUAGCAAGAAACCAACUAGCAAUAUUUCACAGAUGCUGCAUGACAUUCUAAAAGUUUGAUCUUCAGAAACUAGCCCUUCGUGCUCUCCCAGUGUACGUGUGUGAGGAGAACUGUUCUUCAAGACAUGAAAUGAGGAAUUGGGCGAGUCAUACAACGCUGACACAAACUCCUUUCCUGCUGAGUUUGUCAUCACGGACAACAUAAUCACUACGAGUCCUACAAGCACUGAAGUUGUGAUGAGAUGAUCUUCCAGUGUGUUUGACAUUCAGAGAUACACAGUCACAAGGUUUAAAAAAAAAUAUGCUGAAUAAAAAAAUCCUCAAUUGUAUAGCCUAA